AGGUUAUGCAAGCCUGGCGUUGGUUGUCCAGGUGAAAGUGCGUAGAGUUGUUUCUUAGGCAAAUCCGGGAAACUACAUGCUCGAGACACGAGACGAGACUCUAAGGAGUUGAAGUUGCAAAUACCAUGCUUCCAGGAAAAGCCUCUAAACUUAUGAUAUAUCAAACCGUACCCCAAACCGACACAGGUGGUCAGGUAGAGAAUACUAAGGCGCUUGAGAGAACUCGGGUGAAGGAACUCGGCAAAAUUGUACCGUAACUUCGGGAGAAGGUACGCCUCUGUUUGUGAACACUUUACGUGGUAAGCAAAUGGAGGCCGCAGUGACCAGGUGGCUGGGACUGUUUAUUAAAAACACAGCACUCUGCAAACUCGUAAGAGGACGUAUAGGGUGUGACACCUGCCCGGUGCCGGAAGGUUAAGAGGAGAGUUUAGCUUCGGCGAAGAUUUGAAUUGAAGCCCCGGUAAACGGCGGCCGU
rnacentral:rRNA from 1 species